AUUGAAUGCUGGCGGCAGGCCUAACACAUGCAAGUCGAGCGAGCGGCGGACGGGUGUGUAAUGUAUGGGGACUGCCCGAUAGAGGGGGAUAACUACUGGAAACGGUAGCUAAUACCGCAUACUAUCGGAUAACCCAUAUGGGAUUAGCUAGUAGGUGAGGUAAUGGCUCACCUAGGCGACGAUCCCUAGCUGGUCUGAGAGGAUGAUCAGCAACACUGGGACUGAGACACGGCCCAGACUCCUACGGAGGCAGCAGUGGGGAAUAUUGGACAAUGGGGGAAAUCCUGAUGCAGCCAUGCCGCGUGUAUGAAGAAGGCCCUAGGGUUGUAAAGUACUUUCAGUCGGGAAGCGGUACCGACAGAAGAAGCACCGGCUAACUCCGUGCCAGCAGCCGCGGUAAUAC
rnacentral:rRNA from 1 species